rnacentral:rRNA from 1 species
AUACAGAGGGUGCAAGCGUGAAUCGGAAUUACUGGGCGUAAAGCGUACGUAGGCGGUUUGGUAAGUCAGAUGUGAAAGCCCUGAGCGCAACUUGGGAACUGCAUUUGAAACUGCCUGACUAGAGUGUGAUAGAGGAUAGUGGAAUUUCCGGUGUAGCGGUGAAAUGCGUAGAGAUCGGGAGGAACACCAGUGGCGAAGGCGGCUCUCUGCACUGACACUGACGCUGAGGCGCGAAAGCGAGGGUAGCAAACAGGAUUAGAAACCCCGGUAGUCC